rnacentral:rRNA from 1 species
UACGAAGGGGGCUAGCGUUGCUCGGAAUCACUGGGCGUAAAGGGUGCGUAGGCGGGUCUUUAAGUCAGGGGUGAAAUCCUGGAGCUCAACUCCAGAACUGCCUUUGAUACUGAAGAUCUUGAGUCCGGGAGAGGUGAGUGGAACUGCGAGUGUAGAGGUGAAAUUCGUAGAUAUUCGCAAGAACACCAGUGGCGAAGGCGGCUCACUGGACCACAACUGACGCUGAGGCGCGAAAGCUAGGGGAGCAAACAGG